GAUGAACGCUGACAGAAUGCUUAACACAUGCAAGUCAACUUGAGCUUCGGUUUGGGUGGCGGACGGGUGAGUAACGCGUAAAGAACUUGCCUCACAGCUAGGGACAACAUUUGGAAACGAAUGCUAAUACCUGAUAUUAUGAUUUUAGGGCAUCCUAGAAUUAUGAAAGCUAUAUGCGCUGUGAGAGAGCUUUGCGUCCCAUUAGCUAGUUGGAGAGGUAACGGCUCACCAAGGCGAUGAUGGGUAGCCGGCCUGAGAGGGUGAACGGCCACAAGGGGACUGAGACACGGCCCUUACUCCUACGGGAGGCAGCAGUGGGGAAUAUUGGACAAUGGACCAAGAGUCUGAUCCAGCAAUUCUGUGUGCACGAUGAAGUUUUUCGGAAUGUAAAGUGCUUUCAGUUGGGAAGAAAAAAAUGACGGUACCAACAGAAGAAGUGACGGCUAAAUACGUG
rnacentral:rRNA from 1 species